rnacentral:snRNA from 1 species
CUGUUUUUGGUCCCAAGGCUCG